UCUGUUUGUUUCUCUAGAAUGGGAUCGGAUUUGGGAGAGACACAAACAAGAACCCUCUGCAGUGGUGUUGUAUGAAGAAUCGCUGGACACUGCUGCUCUGAUAGACUGAACCCCUGUGAUCCUGCUGAUGGAAUGUUGUUUGAGGCUUCACUCAGUGAGGAACAGUACAGUUCCAGCUCUGCAGUCCCUGCGCUCUAACACUGACCUGCACCGUGACAAAGCAGCAAAGAGGGUCAAACCCUGAAGACUCAGGACCUCCAAUUGAGCAGCAAGUUUUGAAAUGUUGGAGACAAGUGAUUAAAGGCCUGUUUUUUCCAAA